GCAAAAAUCAUAUCUUCCUGUAUAAUUUUAGCAGGUAUAUAGAGAUGUAUAGUCCAGUAUAGAGACUCUAUUUGUCUUCUGCAUAUAAGGAGUCUUUCAUACAGGCAGGCUGGAGACAAAGGCCAGCUCACCAAGGAAACCAGGAUAUAUGUAUUCUGAUAAGGAAAAGGAUCUCCUUCAGAGGAUGCCUAAAAAGUGCACUUUUGGCAUAACUGUAAUUUCUGCUGACAACAAAGUAUCAAGGUCAUAUGGUCUUAACAUUGUCUUCCCCAUGGACUGUAUCUUCUAGGUUGCAGUGCAUAAUUAUAGCUUAGUCAUUUGUGGUCCUUGCCCAGCUGCUCCCAGUCUUCUCCAGUUCACCCAUCAUGGAGGGACACUGGCCUCCUGAUAGGGGACUGCUGCCCUCCCCUUGACUGUGGCAAUUCUCUGUGUUACUUUGUGUCAGGGCUUCUUUUCCCACUCCUAGUAAAUAAAUCCCUCUCUGUUCUGCUUGAUUAAUGUAUUUUUUCCCAAACAAAUAAGUUGUUUCUAGGAAGUUUUCUGCCUUAUUGGAGUCUUUUAGCAUGGUUGACAUGCUGCUUUGAGAUUCUUGCUGGAGAAAGCAUUGCUGAAUUUGUGGAAAAAAACCUUGUCCACUGGGAACACCUGAGGGAGACAAAGCAACAUUCUGAGCUAAAGUUAAAAGUAAACCAAAACCUAAUGCAACAUGGAAAAGAGAGAAUGGGUACCAAUAGAAGACGAAUCCAGAAUCUUUUUGACAGUAUUUUUAAGAAGUAUGUGCUAAGGUGAGCCCCUAACUCCUGACAGACCUGAAACUGACUGAAAAACAGUGAGCACCAUUUGAAAUCUGCCUGCCAAAGAAAGUGCAAAACUUCACCUACAAGUUAAACGGGAAGGAGUUGCUGCAGGAUGAUGAGUAUGAAAUAAUCACAUCUGAUGAUGGAUUUGCUCACACUAUGAAAAUUAAGGGUGUUCUGUCCACAAACUUUAAAGAACUCAGUGUUGAAAUGCCAAUCUAGUGCAGAACACUCUUCAUUGAUCAUAAGUAAUGCAAAGUAAGCAUCUUUGUGUGGAUCAAACGCAAGAUAGCAGGGUUUGAGCUGCAAAAUCCAUAAAACUAAAACAAAAACCCCCAGAGCUUGGACUGAAAAUAAUGGAAGCCAGUCUAGCUGGCUAGACUGUGGAUGAGCAAGCAGAGGAGCAUCGAGACCUCUUUUUCACACUGGAAAGAAAGUCCCAAGCCUGGAACCUCUCCUGCCCAUGUUGUAUCCUGCAAAGGCAAAGCCACCUGUUUUUAUUUAUAAGGUGCUUGCUGGUAUUUGCCAUUUUUUCUUGCCAAUCCCUUUUUUAGGACUUUAAAAUCUGUUCUCAGCAAUCUCAAGAAUACCCAAGUGAAGAAGAGAAAAGCCUGCCUAGAGUGUGUGCUGACUUCUGAAGAUGUCACCCUGAGGGGGAUGUAGAAUUGAGACGUCUCCUCAGUACAUCAUGAAGCAGAGAGCAGAGCUUAUCCUUAAUGCUGCUGAGCUGAGUGACUCAGGAGAUGGCCCCAACAGUCAUAGGCUAUGAAGACAGUGACCCUAAUGGAGCAAUACAGUUGUGCCAGUGUAAUUAUCAAAAGGAAGUGUGAAUGGCUCAAGAGAGGACAAGCAGGUGGAACAGUAGUCUUAACUCUGUUCUUCAGUGAACUCUGCAGAGGAGCAGUGCUGCAUUCCUGGAACAG